GUAGGUGGCAAGCGUUGUCCGGAUUUAUUGGGUUUAAAGGGUGCGUAGGCGGCCUUGUAAGUCAGUGCUGAAAUAUCCCGGCUUAACUGGGAGGGUGGCAUUGAUACUGCGGGGCUAGAGUACAGAUGAGGUAGGCGGAAUUGACGGUGUAGCGGUGAAAUGCUUAGAUAUCGUCAAGAACACCUAUAGCGAAGGCAGCUUACUAGGCUGUAACUGACGCUGAGGCACGAAAGUGUGGGGAUCAAACAGGAUUAGAUACCCUGGUAGUCCACACUGUAAACGUUGAUUACUCGCUGUGUGCGAUAUACAGUACGCGGCCAAGCGAAAGCGCUAAGUAAUCCACCUGGGGAGUACGCCGGCAACGGUGAA
rnacentral:rRNA from 1 species